AAAUCUUGGCGGUGGAUCACUCGGUUCGUGGAUCGAUGAAGAACGCAGCCAGCUGCGAUAAAUAGUGCGAAUUGCAGACACAUUGAGCACUAAAAUUUCGAACGCACAUUGCGCCAUCGGGUUCAUUCCCGCUGGCACGUCUGGCUGAGGGUCG